UGUCGCGCACGGCGGGCUGUGGGCAUGGCGGGGAGCGCUGCCCUCCGCGCACGGACCCGCCGCUCUGCCAUCGCACCCGAUCGGAGUUCAGGUGACUGCCUGCUUCUUGUGUUCUGGCUGUGCUGUGCCAGGUCAUCCGCGCAGUGGUGCCACUGGAGCUGCGGUGCCCUAUGCCACUUGCUGAGCUGGUGACACUGCCUGCCAGGGUUGUUUUUUCUGGGGCAACAUUUUCCCCCAUGGCUGUCCAUCCCUUUCUUGUUCUACUCAGAAGUGUUUUCCUAAAAGAUAUCACCAUUUAAGUUCCCCGUGUUGGAAUCCAUUGUCUGUAGAGAAAACGCUUGAGGUUUGCAGUACUACCUGACAUCAUACCUGAACUGUGUCCUAGUAUAGUUUCUCUGGGUGUGGAAAAAAAUCAAUGCUUGGAGCCACUGUACACUGAUUUACAGGAAGAUUCGGGAUAUCAAUAUUGCAACCAACAUGGAUGUGUAUGCAUUGUGGUUGUAUUGUCAUUGUACCUGCAUUUUCUCCAAAAGCUUACAUCACAUCAGAAAUUCCUGCGCAUUCAAAGCUUCUACAUAAAUGUAACAUAAAGAAUGGAGGGAUUCUGAUGAAUAUAACUGCCUUCUUGAACAUGUGUCAAGCCAUGGCUGUAGAGAAUGGAAGAGUGAGUUUGUAUACAGAGUUCAUGAUUUUUCUCCUUUGUAAAAGCAAGAGCAACUGGAAAAAAGGUGUAAGUUUUAAAAUUCACAUGGCUCAAGUGCCUUACUCUAGGAGUUGGAGGAAAGAACCUCUUAGCUGUACUGCUACCACUUACGUGUAUUUAAAAAUAGACAGCACAAAGACUGUGUAUACUUCAUGUGUCUUGCAGUGUGAAUACAACUUUGAUGGUUUAUGCCAUGUCCAAAACAAAAAGAGAUCCUGUACCUUCUUGUCUAACAAAAGGUUUACUUGAGAGGGGCAAAAGCUCAGCUGAAAUUGAGACGUGUUGCUUCCCCUUCUCUAAUUCAGCUCAGAGUAUAUCAAUUCCCAGAUAAAAUUUUUCAGACAAUUAAAAAGGGAUCCUUCAGUAAAACUGUAUUUUUUACAGAUACAGUAUGUGAGGAGGAAUAUUUUCCCCAACAUUUUCUUUCUCCAGUGUCAUUUUUAUGUGGCUAUCAUGUAGAUAACAGCAGGGAAUUCCACUUAAGGAGAUCCUUAAUGGAUUUAACUAAUGGUUUCUUUGUGAUGCUCUCAGACAGUUCUCCUGUAAUGUGGAUCCUCUAAAUAUUUAAAUCCACCAUUGAAGCAUUUAAUAGGAAGAAAGUCUCCUACCAUUAGAAUAAAGAAAAGGCUUUCAUCUGGAAACAAUACCAAAACAAAAUCUGAUUUGUACAACUGCACCAAGAAUCCAAGCCCACUUACUCUGUGAGGCAGCUGGUACAACAAGGACCUAGGGUGCCAGGUAAACAAUAACCAGUCAUUUGUAUAUUCAGACAAUAUCUGUCCUUCGUCCAUAUUUUCGAGAGCUAUUUGUAUUGAUUGUUGGUUUGACUGAUCAAUUAAACUGAUAAGAUAAUACUGCUACUUACUGUUGGUACAGGGAGACUGCCUAACCCAUGGGCUUGUGGAAUCUUGAAAAUAGUGGAUCGGUUACCCUGGGGUGCUUCUCCUUGUUUUGUCUUCUGACACUGUUUCAAAGUGAUCUUUUUUACUGUUCUAUCCAUUAUCCUCCUUUUCUGUUUUUCUUACAAGUGGAGCCUAAUGUUUGUCGAGUUCCAUAAAAUAUUUGAGCUGGAAGGAAAAACCUUUUAGAAAUCUACUUACUGUACUGUCAAGACCCAGUUUUUUUCUCUACUGUCGCUUGCUUGGGAAGAACAGUCACUUCAGAAACUAACACUGGUCCUUAAGCUGUCUGCUUAGUGCUGGAUUUUACCAUGUUUCCCUUGCACAAAGAAGAAAAUCUACUGUUUCAAUCUAGAUUGUUUCUGAAAAUGAUAAAUAAUAGAGAAACAAAAGCUCCCCAUAGCUUCCAUUCAAUCGAACAAAACCAUAGAGGUGCAGUUGCCCCACAGGUGCUUUUGUGCUAUAUAAAAUACAUCCCUACCUUUUGAAUACAUAGAACUCCUUGAAAAGAAUAAAUAUCACUUUCAGCUAAGUAAAUCUGUUUAUUUUGUUCUGCACAGUUUGGACAGGGACAUUUAUUUCUGCAGAUGAUAUUAAUACAUUUGUAGGAUUUUUCUGCAAUCUCUUGACAAUCUGUGCUGUCUAAAUCCACUUGUAACCUGUUCCAUAUCUGGCCCUUAAAUAUAGACACUUCAAAAAUCUUAUUCUCUGAUAUUUCUGUGAUGCAAUUAUUUUCUGCAUUUCCGUCACUUGGUAUUGUUACGCAUAUGAGCACAUAGAGCCUUUCUGAAUUCUUGUGUGCACAACCAUGGUAUAAAUUAUACACAAUAUAAGCGGUAAAGUUUCUCACUUGCUGUGGAAGCUGGCCUUCCAGAAAGGGCACACUGGACCAAGUUGCCGAGAAUGGCACCCUCAUUUGGCUCUAAUGGGGAGUUUCUCUGAGAAAAUGAGCAGGCACACUUAGAUUUUCCUUCUUGUUGUAUCUCAGCAUCGUUAGCGAUAAUGCAGAACUAUCAGUAUGUUCCUCUCACGCUUGUACUUUAUGUUGCAUGGAUACACUCAAAGGCUCGAAUUAAAGGCUUUCUUGCUAUCCUA